rnacentral:lncRNA from 1 species
GGAAGGGUUGGAGCAGCUUGGUGAUGUAAUAACCAUGGAGGAGGGUCCCUUUGGGGAAGGAGUAAAAGCCAUGUGGGAACUUGGGAAUCAAUAAGGGCACAACCUGCGAUUUACCUCCACUAGUCACUGAGGGGCCGGGGGCUAGAGGUCCAGGAUUUAGUCCGGCUAAGCUGGGACACCUGGGUUAUCAAAAAAAAAAAAAAAAAAAAAAACUCUCUCUCCUUUUGGCUGAAAUCGACGACAUCACCAUAACUGAUCCAAACGACAACGAAGUCUUCAAAACACCGACAUCGAUUUCAACAAUUGUGACAGUCGCGGCAACAGAGAGUGCGGGAACAGGGGCUCGACGUCAACCGCUUCUUUGGAAUCUCUCGCCUGCACAAAAUCACUGGCACACAGCUUCUCCGCCCACCGAAAAUGGAUCUCGCCGAAAUACAGGUAUUCCAAUUUCCUCCACCUUGUCUCCCACAUUCCCAAUCGGCUUUC